AGAGCACCAACAGAUCUCUUACCUUCCUGCUUUCAUGCCUUAGAGGGAAGCUGGUGAGAAUUGGGCACUAGGACCAUCUCCUAGCAGUGGAUGUCCAAUAUAUUUCCCAGCUUCAAGGACCAUCCCUCUGCCAUUUGGGCCAUCAUGUUAAAUCUCAGACCUGCCCUGCUACCGAUGGAGCCAUUGCUACCUCAAAGGGAAGUCCCCAGGAGCCCCAUCAGACGUUUUCCACUCCUGCUCUCUUGCCUUGGAGCUCUGUUAAGUGCAAUGAGGGCACCAGGACCCUUCAAGCCUCUCAACAGUCUCUCUACAGCAGAUGUCCAGUGUGUUUCCCAGCCUCGAGAACCACCUGUCGGCCGUCGGGACCUUCGGUUCUAAUCUCAGACCAGCCAUUGAGAUGGAGCCUUGAGCUCUGCUGCUACAUCAAAGGGAAGGUGUUGGCUUUUUUUUUUGUGUGUGUGUGUGUGUUUGUGUAGAGGGUGAGGGUUAGGGUUAGUUGGCUUGCAGGGGA